GAAAUGCGAUAAGUAAUGCGAAUUGCAGAUUUCAGUGAAUCAUCGAAUCUUUGAACGCACAUUGCACCCGGCGGCCAUUCCGCCGGGUCUGCCUGUCCGAGCGUCGUUUCGCCCCUCGAGUCCACCAAGCACUCGGUGUUGGGGAUCUGCAGCGCCCCUGAGGGCCCUGCUGGAAUCCCCUGCGCAGUAACAAAUUUCUCGCAUCGGAUGUCGGCGGAGCCUGGCCGUCAACCGGUCGGCGUCCCCCAACGGCGCCGCCCCUUCAGAACGGUCGACCUCGGAUCAGGUAGGGUUACCCGCUGAACUUAA
rnacentral:misc_RNA from 1 species